rnacentral:lncRNA from 1 species
GCCAGGCAGCAGCUGCAGGAGGCUCCCACGCGCACAGCUACCGCGCGCCUGCCUCCCAAGACCAGCGCAGCGCAGCAGCCGCAGCGGCUGAAGGAAUCCAUCGCCCGCCUGAAAGCUGACCUGGCCGCGAGAAAGGCGCGCAUCGAGCAGGUGCCCGACAUGCAUCACCAAUACUUCCACCAGCCAAGUUAUUCAUUAGGAUUUGUACUUCACGGUCUUCCAUGAACGAGGCCGCCGUCAAUGGUAAAGUACUAAAGAAAUACGGGGCCGUGGAUCUGAUGACCAGAAAAACGUGUUGGCCACUUCCAUUGCCUCUUUUAGGAGGUGCCAAUCUCCGGUGUAAGCAGAACACCGAUCUGGCAGUCAAGUGUACCACCGUCAAGUCUCUGCCUUGCACAAAUCUGGGAUAUCUGAACUGGUCCAAGAAAGCUAGUUUCAAGAGAGGGACCCUGUGUCAUGUGCAGCUGGAGGAGCAGAUCAGGGUGCAGGAGGAGGUGACAAAGGGGGCCGGCUAUGAACUGGCACAGCUCACCUUCAAGUGCGGCGACCUGGAGGCUCAGGUGGCAGCCACGCGCCAGGUGGUUUCCCCACCGUCCCUGACUUUCUUUCCUCAACAAAGACAAGCAUACGAAAUAGAGUCCAACAAGCCGUUUAUGCCAUGAACUGGUUUUCAGCCGGCCGAUGCAGAAGAAUUCUCUGCAUGCCACAAGCACGCCAUCUGCGUUACCUUUUCAAUUUUUAUGCCAUUUGUUUUAUGGGAGGCAGGCAGUCUUACUAAGUUCAGGAAUGAUGCGGACUGGAAGGGCGUCCACCUUGGACUUUGGACAUAAAAAGGUGUAAGCCUCAGGUGAUGCAUGUGCGCCUUGCUGAUGCCCAGUGCUGACUCACGCAGGAGCUCCAGGAAGCUGCCGCGGAGCGCG